AUUGAACGCUGGCGGCAUGGCUAAAACAUGCAAGUCGAGCGCGAAAGAGGGGCAACCCUCGUGUAGAGCGGCGAAAGGGUGAGUAAUGCGUUCCUACGUGCCUCAAGGUCGGGGAUAGCCAGGGGAAACUCUGGGUAAUACCCGAUGUGGUCGCAAGAUCAAAGGCUUGCCGCCUUGAGAGCGGGGAACGUCCUAUCAGGUAGUUGGUGAGGUAAAGGCUCACCAAGCCAAUGACGGGUAGCGGGUGUGAGAGCAUGGCCCGCCACAUCGAAACUGAGACACUGUUCGGACUCCUACGGGUGGCUG
rnacentral:rRNA from 1 species